ACCUUCUCAGGGUCACAACUGGAGAGUUUCCAGUACUCUACCAGUCUCGGCUAUGGGAGGGAGAGUCAAAGAGAAGCCUACCCAUUCCAUUCUUAGCUUGGCCAGUGGCUAGUGAGUGGAAGGCAAUCUGCUACAAGU
rnacentral:snoRNA from 2 species